GUCUUAUACUCUAGUGUGGGGAUAUUCUAGGUCUUAUACUCUACUUUGGGGAUAUUCGAGGUCUUAUACUCUAGUGUGGGGAUACUCUAGGUCUUAUACUCUACUUUGGGGAUAUUCGAGGUCUUAUACUCUAGUGUGGGGAUACUCUAGGUCUUAUACUCUACUUUGGGGAUAUUCGAGGUCUUAUACUCUAGUGUGGGGAUAUUCUAGGUCUUAUACUCUACUUUGGGGAUAUUCUUGGUCUUAUACUUUAGUGUGGGGAUACUCUAGUGUGGGGAUAUUCUUGGUCUUAUACUCUAGUGUGGGGAUACUCUAGGUCUUAUAUUCUACUUUGGGGAUAUUCGAGGUCUUAUACUCUAGUGUGGGGAUAUUCUAGGUCUUAUACUCUACUUUGGGGAUAUUCUUGGUCUUAUACUCUAGUGUGGGGAUACUCUAGUGUGGGGA